rnacentral:lncRNA from 1 species
GAAUUAGUGCUAAACCAGCUCUGGAGAUGUGUGAUGACAGAGAGAAAGCGAGCCUGAGGGAAAUAUGUUUCCCCCAGUGCUGACCUGAGUUUUGUUUAAAAGGCUUUACCAGGCAGUGCUGAAGAUAAAUUUCAUGAAUUGUGUCCUAGGCUUGAUCUUAGUAUGCUUAUUAAGGCACUGAACGUUAUAUAUUUGCAUUGUUAGGGACUGAUAUGCGCUUAAGUUUGUGUGUGAGAAGUAGAAGCCAAGCAGAUGCAAAACGUAGGACCCAGGAGGACUGGGCCUGGUGGCGGCGGCCAUUUUGGGCCUGGGGACAGCCCUGUUACCUUGCCUCGUCUCGUGGCAGAGGCAUGCUGUGUGUGAUUUGCAGUGUUCAAUUAAGAAAGUAAAACUUCUCUGCUGCAUAAAAAUUGGAAGCUGCUGAUCCUGACGUGUAAUCUGCGAAGGUGUCUGUCAGACUGUUUCGAAAACAACGUACUGCAAAUUGAAAUUUACUAAACUGGCAAAAUGCCUUCAGGGGAAUUAUGACGAGCCUGUAGAAGAAAGGGCACUGUCAGAUAAUUUAAGCAGCUUUGAGUGAAGAUGCUGCAAAUGCAACUUAUUUUUCACACCUCUCAGAGGGCAAGCAGAUGGGCGCCAUUUUCCUUCCUCUGAGCUCCACCUUGCCAGCCCCUGGCAGAAACUCUCUUCUAAUGAUGUCUAAGCCAAUGUCCGUGUGGCAGUGCAGGAAUCACAGCUGGGGCAUUCAUGAGAAGCAUGACAUUUUAGAGAAUCUGCUGAUGGAAGUGGAAUGGGUCCUGGUGCCUGCAUGUUUCUGCUCACACAGAUAAGUAAGGGGUCUAUGAGAACCAGUGCCAAAUUCUUGAGCCACUUUCUGAAGAUAAAAAUGGCUGCCUGUAUGUUUCAAGUUUGACAUUGACUUCACUCAUGUAGCUUGUCUGUGAAAUGCAUCAUUUUGAGGCAAACUCCCCAUUUAAAAUGCAAAAUUCAGGAUGCAAAUUAAAGAUUUAUGACUUUCUGUCUGUCAGUUUUGAUUCCAUCAUGUGUUCAUUAGUCAUGCCCUACUGUGCUGCCCUGUAACAGUGCUGACUGAUGUUGACCACAGACAUUAUAAAUGAUCCCUUUUGAUACAUUAGUUAAUUACAAAGGAAAUCAGCCUGUUCCUGGCAAAUUCAAAU